rnacentral:rRNA from 1 species
AUGAUUCAAUUUAGAACAAAAAAAAGCUUGGGGCAGCACUUCCUCCAAGACAAACACAUUGCUCAUAAAAUUGUUAGUGCUUUAAGUAAGGAACACCAAAAGAUUGUGGAAGUAGGUGCUGGCACAAGGGUUUUGACUGAGCUCCUGGUACAGCAGCAAGAGCUUGAGCUAUACUUAGUAGAAGUGGAUCUUAAACUGGUGUCUUACCUGAAGCAAACCUAUCCUUUAUUACAAGAUCGUAUCAUUGCAUCUGAUUUGCUUAAGCUAGCAUUCGCCCCAUUCUGUUGUGGGCCUGUGGCCAUUCUCAGUAACUUUGCUUACAACAUUUGUUCGCAAAUAGUUUUGCAAGUACUGGAGCAUCGGUAG